rnacentral:rRNA from 1 species
CCUACGGGGGGCUGCAGUGGGGAAUAUUGGACAAUGGGGGCAACCCUGAUCCAGCCAUGCCGCGUGUGUGAAGAAGGCCCUCGGGUUGUAAAGCACUUUCAGUGAGGAAGAACGCCUGGUGGUUAAUACCCAUCAGGAAAGACAUCACUCACAGAAGAAGCACCGGUUAACUCCGUGCCAGCAGCCGCGGUAAUACGGAGGGUGCGAGCGUUAAUCGGAAUUACUGGGCGUACAGCGCGCGUAGGUGGCUUGAUAAGCCGGUUGUGAAAGCCCCGGGCUCAACCUGGGAACGGCAUCCGGAACUGUCAAGCUAGAGUGCAGGAGAGGAAGGUAGAAUUCCCGGUGUAGCGGUGAAAUGCGUAGAGAUCGGGAGGAAUACCAGUGGCGAAGGCGGCCUUCUGGACUGACACUGACACUGAGGUGCGAAAGCGUGGGUAGCAAACAGGAUUAGAUACCCGGGUAGUC